AUUUAAAUUAUUAUUAAAUUUUAUAGUUAUUUUAUAAUUUAAUUAAAAUAUUAGGAAUUUUAUUAUAUAAUUAGAAAAAAUAUAUUUUAUUAUAGUGAAAUAGUAUUGUGAAAGAAUUAAUUUAAAUAUUAAAAAGAAUAAUUAAUUUUUAGUACCUUGGGUAUCAGGGUUGAUUAAAUAAUAAUUUUAUAUUAAAUAUUCUCGAAUUUAAAAGAGCUAAUUUAUUAUAUUUAUUAUUGUGGAAUAACUACUAUAAAUAAUAAGUUAGAAAUGAAACGUUAUUCGUUUUUAAAUAUAUCUAGUUUUUUAAGAAAAAAAUUUAAUUUGUUAAUUAUGAAUAUUUUUUUAUAUAUUUAAUUUAAUAUUAGUAAUUGGUUAUAUUUUAGGGGAUAAGCUUUAAAAUAAAUUUUUAUAAAUAAAUUAAAAUAUAUUAAAUGUAGGAUUAGAAUUUUUUAUCAUUAAAAAAAUGUUAUAAUUUAUUAUAUUAUAAAUAUAAUUUUCUUUUAUUUUAAAUUUUUUAUUAAAAUAUAUUUAUGAAUUUUAAAUAAAUAGAAAUAAUGAUUAAAUUAGUAUAAUUUUAUUUAAAUUUAAAUUUUAAAAUUUAGGUUUUUAAAAGGAAUUCGGCAAAAUAUUUUUUUACCUGUUUAUUAAAAACAUGUCCUUUUGAUAUUUAUAUAAGGUCUAGCCUGCCCAAUGAUUAAUUUUAAAUGGCCGCGGUAUCCUGACCGUGCAAAGGUAGCAUAAUCAUUAGUUUUUUAAUUGAAAGCUGGUAUGAAAGGUUGGAUAAGAGAAAUACUGUCUCUUAAAAAUUUUAUUAGAAUUUUAUUUUUAAGUUAAAAAGCUUAAAUGAAAUUUAAAGACGAGAAGACCCUUUAGAGUUUUAUAUAAUUAAUUAUAUUUUAUUUUUUAGUAUUAAUUAAGUAAAAUUUAAUUAUUAUAUUUGGUUGGGGUGAUUGAAAAAUUUAUUAAACUUUUUCUUUUAUACAACAUUAAUUUAUGAAUAUUUGAUCCAAUAGUUUUGAUUAUAAGAAUAAAUUACCUAAGGGAUAACAGCGUUAUUUUUUUAAAGAGUUCAAAUCGAAAAAAAAGAUUGCGACCUCGAUGUUGGAUUAAAAUUAAAUUAUGGUGCAGAAGCUAUAAUUUUAGGUCUGUUCGACCUUUAAAAUUUUACAUGAUCUGAGUUUAAACCGGCGUGAGCCAGGUUGGUUUCUAUCUUAAAUUAAUAAUAAUAUUUUAGUACGAAAGGACCAAAUAUUAGAUUAAUAAUUUAUUUAUUGAAUAUGAUUAAU
rnacentral:rRNA from 1 species